GAGGAGGAAGAGGAGGAGGAGGUCGUACCACCGCGCUCGGAAAGGCGGUCGAAGCUUGUCCACGACCCUUCGACUGAACGUGGUAAGGGGGUUGCGACCGCCGCUCAGUCGACCAAACGCCCUCGGACCACCUCUCCAGUGCCGACUGAAAAAGGCGCGAAGCAGCCUAGGGCGGCCUCGUCGAAGCCGAUCAAGCUCCUGCCGAAGAUGAAGGUGUCCAUCCCCACCAUAUCAGGGUAAUCGUGCUGCUUAAGUCUUCUUAUUUUAUGCGAACUUUGUCUCUGGUUGACGCUGAAGUUAGUCGACUGAUUCUUUGGAGUUGCAGUGCUGCUACUUCUGAGACCUCAGCCCGGGCUGAUGACCAUGAGAUGGAGGACGCAGCAACUUCAAAACCAGGUACUAUAUUCUUAACGCCGUUUUUAGUCGACUGACUCGCGAUCUCUGAUCCUGAUUCUUCUCCGUAGCUCCACCCAACGCUGUUAUCAAUCUCCCUGAUGAUGAUGAGGAUGAGGAACUGCUGAAGCGCAGAAGGAGUAGGAAAGCGUCUGCCAGCAAGGUGCCCCAGGAUGUGACGGCGCCUGAGAUUCUGAUUGCGGAGGAAGAGAACACCACUCGACACACGGUGUCCUUCGCAGAUCCAUUGACGAGUGCUCAGCAGCCCUCCCUCUUCACGACGCACCACGUCCCAGAGGACCAAGCUGGCGCGGCGAAGGAGGCAAUACGCCAGGCGGGAAUCAUGAUGGAGCAGUUGAAGACCAUCCGGGAUGCGAGCCAGGCAGCUUAUGACGCCAGUUCUGCCCUCCAAAGCAAUGUUCAGGUCAGUCGACCACCGUUUGUUCUGUUGGAUAUGCUACUAAAAACUUUUCCUUUCCGGAAUUUAUAGUAGUCACCCACUGGGUGUGUCGAUUAAACUCCGUGUUAGCGGGGGCACGCUGAGUGCACCCGCUGGGUGUAGUCCCCAAGGCUAAGGUCGACUGCUGGCAGUCGGCCUUAGGCUUUAUGAUGUCAAUCUUUCUGUCAGUCGACUAUGCCCAGCGGGUGUGUCGAUUAAACUCCGUGUUAGCGGGGGCACGCUGAGUGCACCCGCUGGGUGUAGUCCCCAAGGCUAAGGUCGACUGCUGGCAGUUGGCCUUAGGCUUUAUGAUGUCAAUCUUUCUGUCAGUCGACUAUGUCGACUGGAUUUCACAAACCGGUGGGGGCACGCUGAGUGCACCCACUGGGUGUAGUCCCCGAGACUAUGGUCGACUGCUUGCAGUUGAUCACAGUCUUAAAGAAUACAUCUCUCUUCUUUUUUUUUGAGGUCGACUGGUCGACUUUAUCUUCAACAGGAUUAGUGGGGGCACGCUGAGUGCACCCAUUGGGUGUAGUCCCCGAGACUACGGUCGAAUGCUUGUAUUCGGCUGUAGUCUUAGAAACGUGUGUUUUUUCUUUUUUCACUCGGAAGUGAAUUAUAUUUGACAUUUAGUCGAUUGGUUCUUCGCAGAACUCCUGUGAUCUUGUGGCUCGCUACUCUGAGCUGGAAAACAAGCACACUCAACUCGAGCUGAGCUUGAAGCUGGUUCAGGAGAAGCUGACGAAGGCAAAGGAGGAGACCGAAGGUAUGUUUGGUGAGACCCUGACGACUGCUUUUCCCCUUGCUUGUUUCAAAAUCUGAUCUUGCUGUAACUUGUAGGUAAGGUAAGGGAGGCCCAACAGAAGAAAGACCUCGAACUAGCUGAGAAGAUCAAGCUUGCUGACGAGAAGUUAGCUUCAGUCACCAAGCUUGAACAAGACAAUACCAAUCUGAAAGCUGCUCUUGGGAUCGCCAACAAGGAGGUCAGUCGACUAAAAACUGAUAAAGCUGCCCUGACCGACCAAGUCAGUAAGUUGACUGGGAAGAAAAAUGAUCUGGAGGCCUUCCUGAGUGGUCUUGCCAAGAAGCUGUUUCUUCUGCUUGAAGGUAAACCUCUAUGCUCGGCAAACAUUUCCAAUCGUGGUUUUUCCAUUCGACCAUCCCCUUGACUUAGUGAUCAUCCUUGCAGAAUUUUGUCAAAACUUUGAAGAAGAAACUAGCCGGCUGGAGCCAAACCUCGACCCCGUCAAUUCUCCGGUGAACGACGAAGUUGCCAUGGAUGUUUUCCGACUGGAGUCUCGUGUUGCAGCUGUCGUGGACUAUCUCGCAAGGCUGAAGGCCGCCACAUCUCGCAUCGACUCGACGCUCUGGCCUGAGGAGACACUUCAGAAUGACCUUGAGUCGCUGAUGGCCCGCUUGAACACGAUCCCUGGUCGAGUGCAGGAAUGGAAGAAGUCCUCGGCUCGGUGUGGUGCAGAUGUUGCUCUGUGUCUGGCCCGAGUCCACUAUAAAGAUGCGCGAGAAGAGAAGCUGGCGGCCCUUCGGGUGGCCAACACCAAGAAACACGACUUCAGGUCCUUUAUGGAAACUUUCCUUGCGGCUGCCACUCGGAUCGCCGACGGAAUUGACCUUGAUGAAUUCAUUGCACCUUCUAGCCCUCCACAGGAGGGGUAAAAAACUUCUUCUGGCUCGACGCUUUAAAUUUGCCUCGGUAUGCCGAGUGGAAUUGUAACCGAUAAACCUUAACAGGCUUAACGCCUGAGCACUUUCGGUUCCUUUAGAUAUCGAUUCAAACUUGAAUUUGGUGCUUGAAUACGAUUGCCUUUGGCUCGAAAUGUCUUUUGCAGGUUCGAAGCAAGGCGCCUUUACUGCAAUCGAUUUAUUCUUUAGUCCACUUAGGCGAGCACUGGGCUGCGGCUAAGCCUCCGAGUGGAAGCCCGGCUUACCACUCGGUAGGAUUUCUGUAACUUAGGCGAGCACUGGGCUGCAACUAAGCCCCCGAGUGAGAGGUUUACUCUUCACUCGGUAGGAUUUUGAUAACUUAGGCUAGCACUGGGCUGCAGCUAAGCCUCCGAGUGAGAGGUUUGCUCUUCACUCGGUAGGAUUUUUAUAACUUAGGCGAGUGCUUGGACUACAGCUAAGCCUCCGAGUGAGAGGUUUGCUCUUCACUCGGUAGGAUUUUUAUAACUUAGGCGAGUGCUUGGACUGCAGCUAAGCCUCCGAGUGAGAGGUUUGCUCUUCACUCGGUAGGAUUUUUAUAACUUAGGCGAGUGCUUGGACUGCAGCUAAGCCUCCGAGUGAGAGGGUUGCUCUUCACUCGGUAGGAUUUUUUAUAACUUAGGCAAGCACAGGGCUGCAGCUAAGCCUCCGAGUGGAAGUCUGGCUUACCACUCGGUAGGAUUUUUUGUUNNNNNNNNNNNNNNNNNNNNNNNNNNNNNNNNNNNNNNNNNNNNNNNNNNNNNNNNNNNNNNNNNNNNNNNNNNNNNNNNNNNNNNNNNNNNCGGUAGGAUUUUUGUAACUUAGGCGAGUGCUUGGACUGCAGCCAAGCCCCCGAGUGAGAGGCUUGCUCUUCACUCGGUAGGAUUUUUUACAACUUAGGCGAGCGCAGGGCUGCAGCUAAGCCUCCGAGUGGAAGUCUGCCUUACCACUCGGUAGGAUUUUUUACAACUUAGGCGAGUGCUUGGACUGCAGCUAAGCCUCCGAGUGAGAGGGUUGCUCUUCACUCGGUAGGAUUUUUGUAACUUAGGCGAGUGCUUGGACUGCAGCUAAGCCCCCCGAGUGAGAGGCUUGCUCUUCACUCGGUAGGAUUUUUUACAACUUAGGCGAGCGCAGGGCUGCAGCUAAGCCUCCGAGUGGAAGUCUGGCUUACCGCUAGGUAGGAUUUUGAUAACUUAGGCGAAACGGAUUCGCAGCUAAGCCUCCGAGUGGGAGUCUGGCUCACCACUCGGUAGGAUUUUUACAAACUUAGGCGAAACGGAUUCGCGGCUAAGUCACCCACUGAGGGGGAAUUUUAUUGGACAAAAAUAAAAAGUGACAGAAAUUAUGGAGGAACUAUGACACUAUUAUUUUGAGGUCCAUGAACUACAGAAGUACUUUAUUGCAACUCAUCCGAGUGAUAAAACUUAAGUAUAAAAUGGGCGGAGUAGUUCCGCGUUCCAAGCUCGGGGCUCGUCGAUAUUAUGCUCGACGUUGUAAAGACGGUACGCCCCGUUGUGGAGAACCUUGGUGACGAUGAAGGGACCUUCCCAAGAAGGAGCAAGCUUGUGUGGUUUGUGCUGAUCCACUCGGAGAACUAAAUCUCCUUCCUGGAAGGCUCGACCUCUCACAUUUCUGGCGUGGAAACAACGCAAAUCUUGUUGGUAGAUGGUCGAACGGAUCAGAGCCAUCUCCCUUUCUUCCUCUAAAAGGUCGACUGCGUCCUGCCGCGCUUGUUCAGCCUCUGCUUCGUUGUAGAUUUCAACUCGAGGAGCAUUGUGGAGAAGAUCACUCGGCAAGACUGCUUCAGCUCCGUAGACCAAGAAGAAUGGAGUUCUUCCGGUCGACCGAUUAGGUGUGGUCCGCAGCCCCCAAAGCACUGAGGGAAGUUCGUCGACCCAAGCUCCAGCCGCGUGUUUGAGAUCACGCAUCAGUCGGGGCUUCAAUCCCUUAAGAAUCAGUCCAUUAGCUCGCUCCGCUUGUCCAUUCGACUGCGGAUGGGCGACUGAAGCGUAGUCGACCCGUGUGCCUUGGGAGUUGCAGAAAUCUCUGAAUUCCUCCGAGUCAAAGUUCGACCCAUUAUCCGUAAUGAUGCUGUGCAGGACUCCAUAUCUGAAUAUUAGUUCCCUGAUGAAGCUAACAGCAGUACCGGUGUCAAGGUUCUUGAUUGGUUUAGCCUCGAUCCACUUGGUAAACUUGUCGACUGCCACCAGUACAUGCGUGAAGCCACUUCGUCCUGUUCUCAAAGGACCGACCAUGUCCAGUCCCCAUACUGCGAAAGGCCAGACGAGUGGGAUGGUCUUCAGAGCCGACGCAGGCUUGUGCGACAUAUUCGAGUAGAACUGACAUCCCUCGCACUUAUCCACUAUCUCUUUUGCCAUCUCAUUCGCCUUUGGCCAGUAAAAUCCGGCUCGGUAUGCUUUGGCCACGAUGGUCCGAGAGGACGCAUGAUGACCACAGGUCCCCGAGUGGAUAUCAUUGAGGAUGAGUCGACCUUCUUCUGGUGUUAUGCACUUCUGACCAACUCCAGUCGCGUUUUCUCUGUAUAAUUGUCCUUUGAUUACGGUAAAGGCCUUAGAUCGACGGACGAUCUGUCGAGCCUCUUUCACAUCCUCCGGAAGCUCUUUUCUCAGGAUAUACGCGACAUACGGAACUGUCCAGUCGGGAAUGACCACCAAGACCUCCAUGAUCAAGUCGACCACCGCUGGGACCUCAAUCUCAGUCGGAUCUGUGGCGCUCUUGGGCUGUGGAGUUUCUUCGGUGAAAGGAUCUUCUUUGACUGACGGAGUGUGUAUAUGCUCCAAGAACACACCACUCGGAAUGGCUUCUCUCUUGGAACCUAUCUUUGCUAGAUCAUCAGCUGCUUGAUUUUUCAGUCGGGGUAUAUGAUGGAGCUCCAACCCCUCGAACUUCUUUUCCAGCUUCCUCACUGCACUGCAGUAUCCAGUCAUGGCUGGGCUUCUCACGUCCCACUCUUUCAUCACCUGGUUGACCACUAAAUCCGAGUCACCAUAGACCAUCAGGCGACGGACGCCGAGUGAAAUGGCCAUGCGCAACCCAUAUAAGAGGGCCUCAUAUUCUGCCUCAUUGUUGGAGGAAUCAAAGUGAAUCUGGAGCACAUAUCUGAGCUUAUCUCCUCUGGGGGAAACCAGGACAACCCUAGCACCGGAACCAUUCAACAUCUUAGAGCCAUCAAAGAACAUGGUCCAAUGCUCCGAGUGAACUUCAGUCGACUGCUGUUGUUCAAUCCACUCGGCGAGGAAAUCUGCUAUUGCCUGGGACUUAAUGGCUUUCUUUGCCUCAAACUUGAUAUCAAGGGGAAGAAGUUCAAUCGCCCAUUUGGCCACUCGACCAGUUGCAUCUCUGUUGUGCAAAAUCUCUGAUAGUGGAGCGUCGCUGACGACUGUGAUGGAAUGAUCAGAAAAAUAAUGAGCAACCUUCUUUGUGGUCAUGUAUAUUCCAUACACAAGCUUUUGAUAAUGAGGAUAUCUCUGCUUGGACGGAGUCAAGACUUCAGACAAAUAAUACACUGGGCGCUGAACUUUGAGAGCUUUUCCUUCUUCUUCCCGCUCGACCGUAAGCACAGUACUGACGACUUGUCCUGUGGCUGCGAUAUAGAGCAACAGAGGCUCUUUGCUGAUUGGAGCAGCAAGCACCGGCUGGGUGGAGAGCAGAGCUUUUAACUCGGCAAACGCUGCAUCAGCUUCUGGAGUCCACUCGAACUUGUCUAUCUUCUUCAUCAGUCGGUAAAGAGGCAAUGCCUUUUCACCGAGUCGUGAGAUGAAUCGACUUAAUGCGGCCAAGCAUCCAGUAAGCUUCUGGACAUCGUGCACUCGCACAGGGCGUUUCAUUCGGAGAAUAGUGCCAAUCUUCUCUGGGUUAGCGUCGAUUCCCCGUUCGGAAACGAGAAAACCGAGUAAGUUGCCACCAGGAACUCCAAAUGUGCACUUUGAUGGAUUGAGCUUGAUAUCAUAUCUUCUGAGGUUGGCAAAUGUUUCGGCGAGAUCAGCGAGCAGGUCGGAACCUUUUCGUGACUUGACAACGAUAUCAUCCAUAUAUGCUUCCACAUUCCGACUGAUUUGAGUGAGUAAACACUUCUGAAUCAUUCGCAUAAAUGUGGCUCCGGCAUUCUUGAGGCGGAAUGGCAUGGUGAUAUAGCAGAAGCACCCGAAUGGAGUGAUGAAAGCUGUUUUUACCUCGUCGGGUCCGUACAGACGGGUCUGGUGGUACCCGGAGUAGGCAUCUAAAAAAGACAGCCUCUCGCAUCCCGCGGUCGAGUCAACAAUUUGAUCUAUGCGAGGGAGAGGAAAAUGAUCUUUCGGGCAGGCCCGGUUGAUGUGCUUGAAAUCAAUGCACAUUCGGAGUGACUUGUCCUUCUUAGGAACCAUGACGACAUUAGCGAGCCACUCGGAGUGGUAUAUCUCUCGGAUAAAUCCUGCCGCCAACAGUCGAGCCACUUCCUCACCAAUGGCUUUUCUCUUCUGGACGGCGGACCGCCGAAGAUGCUCUUUGACUGGUUUUGCAGACGAGUCGGCUCUUAGGCGAUGCUCAGCCAGUCCCCUGGGAACACCUGGCAUGUCAGCGGGCUUCCAUGCAAAAAUGUCCCAGUUCUCACGGAGGAACUGGAUGAGCGCUUCUUCCUAUUUUGGGUCGAGUGUUGUAGAGAUGCGGGUCGGGGCUGCAUCGGGGUCGGUCGGGUGAAUGUGAACAGGCUUCGUCUCACCGGACGACUGAAAUGCAGACUCUGUGGCGGGUUUCUUUGAUCGCAGCAAGUCACUCGGAUCUGCGUUUUGCUUGUAUUCCUCGAACUCGACCGCUGUCACCUGGGAAUCGGCAAUCUUUGAGCCCUUCUGAAAGCACUCUUCUGCCUUUUUCCGAUCACCGGUGACAGUGAUUACUCCUUUGGGGCCGGGCAUCUUCAAUUUGAGGUACACGUAACAUGGUCGAGCCAUGAACCGUGCGUAAGCUGGCCUCCCCAAAAUGGCAUGAUAUGCACUCUGGAAAUCCACGAUCUCAAACGUCAACUUUUCUUUGCGAAAAUGUUUCGAAUCACCAAACACCACGUCCAAAGCUAUUUGGCCGAGUGACUCGGCUUUCUUCCCUGGUAUAACUCCAUGAAAGCUCAUGUUACUAGUGCUCAGUCGGGACAUCGGAAUGCCCAUUCCUUUCAGUGUGUCUGCAUACAACAAAUUCAGCCCGCUUCCAUCGUCCAUCAGCACUUUUGUCAAUCGAGUGCCUUCGACAACUGGAUCGACCACCAAAGCUUGCCUCCCAGGGGUGGCAAUAUGAGUCGGGUGAUCAGAUUGGUCGAAUGUGAUGGGUAUUUGAGACCAUUUCAGAUAAUUUGCUUUUGCUGGGGCAACCAUGUUCACCUCUCGGUUAAUGACUUUCAGUCGACUCCUGCUUUCCACAUCUGCAAAGAUCAUCAGAGUGGAGUUGAUAUGCGGAUAUCCUUCCUCACUGUCCUCCUUGUCUUCGGCCUUGUCCGACUCCUUCUCCUUGUCCUUAGACUGUUUUCCCUGAAACUGCUGGAUCAGGAGUCGACAUUGGCGAGUGGUGUGCUUCGGGUAGAUGAUAUUCCCCUCUUCGUCUUUCUUCGUGUGGAUGUGGCAUGGCAUAUCCAUUACGUCGUUCCCUUCUUUAUCCUUUACCUUCUUGGGGUUCCAGGAUCCUUUUGGUUUCCCCUUAAACUUUCCCUGAGUCACGGCCGGAGCCUCUCCAGGAGCUGCCGGUUCAGCCUUCCGCUUCUGUUUCCGACUGGUGUUUCCUUUUUCCGACUGACUCGGCUUGUGCUUGCCGCUUCGGAGUCGGUCUUCUUCUUCGCCGUUGGCGUACUUGGUAGCAAUCUCCAUCAUCCGACUCAAGGUCAUGUCACCGAUUCGACCAAACUUCAAACUCAGUUCUCUGUUCUUGACGCCAUCUUUGAAGGCGCAGACUGCCUGAUGAUCAGACACAUUCUUCACAGUGUGGUGCAAAGUGAUCCACCUCUGAAUAUACUCUCUGAGAGUCUCAUUAGCCUUCUGCACGCAGACUUGCAACUCUGUCAAUCCAGCUGGUCGCUUGCAAGUUCCUUCAAACGUUCUGAUGAACACUCGGGACAGAUCUUCCCAAGUGUAAAUGCUGCUAGGAGGUAAUUGAGUCAACCAUGCCCUGGCAGAACCUUCCAGCAUGAGGGGCAAAUGCUUCAUGGCCACCUCGUCGUUCCCACCACCAAUCUGAACUGCCACUCGGUAGUCUUCAAGCCAAGUUUCAGGCUUAGACUCACCAGUGAACUUGCUGACUCCUGUUGCCAACCUGAAAUUGGGAGGGAUAACUGCGGCUCUGAUAGCUCUGCUGAAACAUUCAGGACCAGAUACAUGCACUCGACUGCUUGUGGGUGCAUCUCUGUCGAGUCCGCCUCGAUGGGCUCUGUUCCGGUCGACCAAACCUUGCACGAUAAUGGAUCGCGCGUCGAAGCCUGGUUCUCUGGGGUCGACUGGAACCCUCCGCCCUGUACUGUACUGACGCCUGUCAUCUGGCUGCCGAGGAGCGUAAGACCCACCCCUCGGAGGGGAAUUGGGCACUCAACGCCUGUCAUCUCGGUCGAGUCGGUCGCCAUAUUGAUCUCGCCGAUUCUCGCGCCCUUCACGCCGCGGAGGCGAUCUGGGGCUGUGAGCCGACUGAACCGUAUUCGCAGUGACGGAUCGACUGUGAAUUCUAUUGCGCGACUGAGACACGGCUGAAUUCUGAUCUCCUGCUGCCCGGAGCAGAUCCCUGAUCUGCAGCAAACCUCUGCCAGCUUCCGACUGCGAAGGCUGGAUGGACUCUGCUAUACGGGUCGCAGCUGCUAAAUUCUGGAUUGGGGUUCGAUAUACCUGAGUCGGUGGGAAGAGUUGACGCCGACUGGUGUCGGGAACUCGUUGCCGCGCGCGCUCGUCGAGUGCUCGCUGAAGAUUCUCCAGUCGAGUGCGUUCGGCCAAAUUGGCCAGACGUGCCUCCUCCAAGGCACGAGCCUCGGGGGUUUCUCCUGCGAUGGGAGUACGCAGAGCAUCCACGUUCCUACGGCGAAGUUCCUCUCUUUGCAGAGAGUCGAGUGACUAGGGCUGGUACUCUUCGUGGCCUCGUGCGGGGUCGCCUCCGUCACCUGCUCCACCAUCACGGGCGAAGCCAGGGGGACUGCGGGGCCCGUCGACCAUCAAGAUUUCCGCCGCUGGAUCACUGCUACCGCACUCGGAUGCAGUCUCUACGGAGCCAGUCGACAGAUCGAACAAGCCGUAGAGAGAUUCGUCGGGCUCGAUUGCCGCAACUUGGGUGGUGGCCGAUUGGCGAGCCACCGCGUGCCUCACCCAUCGCUGAAGCCUCGACCGGCCCGAGCGCUUGCGCUGGCGGGAGACCGGGAGGGUGGACGAUGGAGGAGUCGUCCGAUACGGGGUCGACAGUUGCCGCAGCAGAACGCCGCGGACACAUGCGCGAAAAUGCGUCGCACCGCGGACGGGGAGCGCAUCAACGUCGAGUGGAGCCUCCUGGAGCCAGGCGGAGUCGUCGGCGAUGAAGGUGAGAGUGCCGAGACAGAUCUCUCGACCUUCAACCAAAACUCCAGCAGACACCAUCAUGAAAGUACUCGGAAGAAUCGCAACUUCUCCACAAAAUCGCUAAAACACCUGCCCCACGGUGGGCGCCAACUGUCGUGGUUCUAAGCCUGACAGUAGAGUGGGGGGGUAGGUAUGGAGAGGCAAGGUCCUAGCUAUGGAGAGGUUGUAAACACAAGGGAUGUACGAGUUCAGGCCCUUCUCGGAAGAAGUAAUAGCCCUACGUCUCGGAGCCCGGAGGCGGUCGAGUGGAUUAUGAGUAUAUGAGUUACAAGGUGCCGAACCCCUCUACCUGUGGAGGGGGGUGGCUUAUAUAGAGUGCGCCAGGACCCCAGCCAGCCCACGUAGGAGAGGGUUUAAGGUGAGUUAAGUCUGGGGCGUUACUGGUAACGCCCCACAUAAAGUGUCUUUACUAUCAUAAAGCCUACUUAAUUACAGGCCGUUGCAGUGCAGAGUGCCUCUUGACCUCCUGGUGGUCGAGUGAGUCUUCGUGGUCGAGUCCUUCAAGUCAGUCGAGUGAGUCCCUCAUUGGUCGACUGGAAGGCGACCUCUUCUAAGGGUGUCCUUGGGUAAGGUACUUUGAUCAGGUCCAUGACCCUACCCUAGGUACAUGACCCCAUCACUCGGCCAUCGGGAGAGGGGGGGAAGAGGGAGGGGCUGGGCGGCGGCUCACGGGAGAGGGAGAGGGAGAGGGAGAGGGAGGGCUCGGCGGCGGCGCUCGGGAAAGGUAAAGCUCGACGGCGAGGGCGGGGCUAGUGUGGCCACAGGCGAGCGAGGCCACCAGCUUAUAUAGCCGCGCCGCGCCCGUGUGUACGCGUGCGAGGGAGGGGAGGCGUCGGCGCGCCGUCCCGUGACGCGCCGCCCAUGAGGAAUCAAUGGCAAGGCUGACCGGCGGCAGCCUUGCCAUUGAUUCCCCACGAGGGAAACCGAGGCGUUGGGGGAGGACGAGGCGCGGUGUCGCUGACGCGGCUGGCCCGCGGCUUUUUCGCGCCAAAACCACUGGCCCCGGCGCCCCCGGACGCCCCUUAGCGCGCCGGGUUUGGCCUGGAUCCGCCGGCGCUGAUUUCGGCCCAAGCCGGCGAAAAUCGGACUCCUGGGACGCGACUGGGCCCUUUUUUCGAUGCCGACGCAAAAAAAUCGCCUGGUGAGGUCUCCCUGUGGGUGUGGCUGGAGAUACUCUUACAUCCGGCGCUAAAAGACAUUUAGGGAUGCAUGUCAAGUCAACAUUUCAUCACGUGGUUAGGUCAAUAUUCUAGAGGAAUUGACCAAUCGAUUAAGUAGUAGUAGUACACUGGUAGCAGCAUGCAUGCACGCAGUUCCAAGUCCAAGUCAAGGCCACGAGUACGUACCUAGUUGUAUGCACGACGUACGCAGCUCGACCAUGAUAGGGAUCUUCGGCAAGCCUUUGCUGAGGUGACACAGGUUGAUGCACCACUGUUACCUGUGAAGGAAUUUCACCACGGGGUUUGUAGUGUGGUCUCCCAUGCCCUCUGCCUGGGAUCCCAACGCCUUUGCACCGGGAGAAGGAUGCAUGGUGCCUCUCACUCUCAGCGACGUAGCACGAGUGUAGAAAAGAAGAACAGGGCAUGCAACACGUCCCGAUGGCCAAGCACAUGGAGCAUAUGUUGUUGGAGGUUUUUUGGCGACUUGUCAGAGAUGAGCAAAGUGGAGGUUGUUGAGUAAAAGAUGAAAACCUACCUCGACAAGUACAGGAAAAAUAGUCUCGCGCGCUGCAAGUGAUAGAGGCGUUGAGCACCUUGGCAGGCAUGGCUGGGAAGUCGAAGUUUUUUUUUUUUUUUUGAAGAGAGGCAAAAGAUUUACCUCAUUCAUUUAAUAAGAGGAAUAGAGUUUAUGGUUGUAUUACAACACAGACAGCGCCGCAACAACACAAGUGAAUGUGACCAACUACUCUCGCGUCAUCAAGUAUCCCAACUUUCUAGCACCCGCAAUUACCCAAAGCAUGGCCUCCUUCUUGAUGUUGGCGAGUAGGACCGUUGGUGGGGCACUCUUGUGACGGAACACUCGCGCAUUCCUCUCAUUCCAAAUGGUCCAGGCGACGAGCAUGGUGAGCGAGGCCAUCGCCUUCCUGUUGGGGGUAGAUGUGUCGGAGAGGCCGACCCACCGCUCUUCGAUGUUGUCCGAGAGGUGCCAUGAGGAUGUAUCGAUGCUCAGCAGUUGCAGCCAGUCCUUGACUAAUCCCUAUAGGCGGAUAGAGAAGCAGCAUUUGUAGAAAAGGUGAUCAACAGACUCUUGCUCCCGCUUGCAAAGUGUACAAAGGCCACAGUUUAGCCAUCCGCGCUUCUUCAAUCUGUCCGCCGUCCAAAUCCUGUUGGGGGAAGUCGAAGUUGAACCCUACAGGAUGUUUCGAACACGAUAAUGUUAGCCGAUGGUGCUUCAAUUUAGAGGCGGUGACGAGGCUUGAUAUGGCUUAGAUUUGUGAGCGGCUAGUGGCCAGUUCAGUUGCAUUUGAGCCAUGCUUUGUAGCUUUGGACCAUGGCACUCUUAUGUCUGGCUUAGAAGGCGUUCCUUGAUGUGAUGUCGCGAGCCAAAAUACUAGUGUUUUUUUGGGUUUUCACUCGGUUUUCCUUUCUAAUUAUCCGGGAAUGUUUGGUUUUAUGUUCUGCAUUUUCCUUAUAGACUGGACCAUCUUUUUUUCUUUUAAAUCAACUGCAGGAAUCACCUGCCCUCGCGAUGAGGUUCUUCAAAGAUUAUGUACAUCAGUUAAGCGUACAAAGUUAAUUUAGAAAACUUGUCGCUUGUCUGGCCUAACUACACCUUACCAAGAGAGUUAUGAUCAGUAACUUAGAUGUUUUGAUCUCAUCCCUUGAGUAGGGCAUGUGGUACCUACUUCACCUCAUGGCCCCAGUAUUAUCUAAUUAUACUGCGGUUGUAAUAUGUAUGUUUUUAGUUAACAAAUGUAUGGUGUUUUGAGCAAGCGCUAUUAGGUAAGCAUGAAUUAACAGUAGACAAGGCGAAUUCUCACCAAGAGGUUUAGCAGUUUUCUUCUUCAAUAAAAAAAGAGACCAGAUCAAUUACCAAAGUCCAGCAUCACAAACCACACAUAAAAAACUGUAUUCUCCUUGGAAGUUGAUCGUCUUCUAUCCCAGGACGAACUGAUGGCACGUCGCCGCUACCAGAGACGAUCUGACUUUGUCACAUGUGGCUAGAAAGGCUUCGAGGCUACAGUCCAUCUAGAUCAGCCACCCAAGAGAGACGGCAUCGCCGAAGGAUUCGGCCUCAACCAACGCUAGAAGAUUUGUGUGCAAACUCUUGUAUUCAUUGGCAAAUGCCGUAUCUAUAGACACACGCGCGCACGCAAGUAAAUGGCAUAAAACUACCACAAUUUGGGCCAGGGUUCUAGAAAACUACCACUUCUUGAAAAUUUCCUACACCUGCCACAAAUUUGGUUUUUGAUUUCAGAAAACUACCAUGUUACAUUAAUGAGUGGGUUGGUUCAUUUUAAGCACGACUAUGAUGGAUCGAUCGGGUCCACUCGUCAGGUCUAACGUGGCAUAAAAGUCAACACCAUUAGCUUUGACUGUUAGAUUGAAAGUUAAGAUAGAGGGCCCCAUAGAUCAGCCNNNNNNNNNNNNNNNNNNNNNNNNNNNNNNNNNNNNNNNNNNNNNNNNNNNNNNNNNNNNNNNNNNNNNNNNNNNNNNNNNNNNNNNNNNNNNNNNNNNNNNNNNNNNNNNNNNNNNNNNNNNNNNNNNNNNNNNNNNNNNNNNNNNNNNNNNNNNNNNNNNNNNNNNNNNNNNNNNNNNNNNNNNNNNNNNNNNNNNNNNNNNNGACGGCGCUGGCCAUCGGUCUGCUGCACUUUGGGGAAGGCGGACGAGCGAGACCGCACGGCUGGCCGGCUGCCGCCGGUAGUCACUAGAGAACCCCUCGCAUUGCAUGUGAUGCGCUCAACAAGAGAACCCCGUCGCCGAGAAUAGUUGCUUUGUCACUCACGGUGGCAUCAAUGGCGCACGACCGCCACAGCCACAACGUCGGUGGCUCCUGGUCCUCCGAGUGGCCGGUGCGGCCCGUUGAGCCGUUAUUUCUAUUAUUUAAAUUCAUGAAUUCUUUGAUUACCAAUGAUACAUAAAUGGUUAUAUUUGAAGCCUUGUGGUUGAAAAUCGUAACAUAUCAAAGAAAUUGUGCCACUGCAUUCAACAAAUAGAGGCGAUAUCAAUCAAACCCAAAACCAACACAGAUCAAUGCACAUACAAGAAACUUAGAGGAGAGCUUCAACUUUUUAUUUAAAUCUAUCAUUUACAAUGACACCAAGGAUACAGGCUUAGCAGUUUGCACAGCUCUCAACAUAUCCUCUUAACCAUAAAAUGUAGCAUAUGCACAACGAACAGUAAGCUAAAAUGAAAGUUUUGAUGGAGACUGAGCUCCAUCACACCUUUUUUUUAAACAAGGCAAAAGACUUGCUAUUUUCAUUGAUUAAGAAGAAGAGAAUUGCCCGGUUAAUUGACGGAAAACCAGGCUAAAACCGAUACAACCCAACCAAUAUAACAUGGGUACCACCAACCAACCUGGCCACCGACAUGGAACACGGCUGCAAAGAAGAAAUACAUCCGCCGAGGAGUCGCAAGCGUCAUCAUCAUCACCGGUUGCUGAAGGAAAUAUGCCCUAGAGGCAAUAAUAAAGUUAUUAUUUAUUUCCUUAUAUCAUGAUAAAUGUUUAUUAUUCAUGCUAGAAUUGUAUUAACCGGAAACAUAAUACAUGUGUGAAUACAUAGACAAACAGAGUGUCACUAGUAUGCCUCUACUUGACUAGCUCGUUAUUCAAAGAUGGUUAUGUUUCCUAACCAUGAACAAGGAGUUGUUAUUUGAUUAACGAGAUCACAUCAUUAGGUGAAUGAUCUGAUUGACAUGAUCCAUUCCAUUAGCUUAGCACCCGAUCGUUUAGUAUGUUGCUAUUGCUUUCUUCAUGACUUAUACAUGUUCCUAUGACUAUGAGAUUAUGCAACUCCCGUUUGCCGGAGGAACACUUUGUGUGCUACCAAAUGUCACAACGUAAAUGGAUGAUUAUAAAGGUGCUCUACAGGUGUCUCCAAAGGUACAUGUUGGGUUGGCGUAUUUCGAGAUUAGGAUUUGUCACUCCGAUUGUCGGAGAGGUAUCUCUGGGCCCUCUCGGUAAUGCACAUCACAUAAGCCUUGCAAGCAUUGCAACUAAUGAGUUAGUUGCGAGAUGUGCUGGUAACGAGAUUGAACUAGGUAUUGAGAUACCGACGAUCAAAUCUCGGGAAAGUAACAUACCGAUGACAAAGGGAACAACGUAUGUUGUUAUGCGGUCUGACCGAUAAAGAUCUUCGUAGAAUAUGUAGGAGCCAAUAUGAGCAUCCAGGUUCCGCUAUUGGUUAUUGACCGGAGACAUGUCUCGGUCAUGUCUACAUUGUUCUCGAACCCGUAGGGUCCGCACGCUUAAGGUUUCGAUGACAGUUAUAUUAUGAGUUUAUGAGUUUUGAUGUACCGAACUUAGUUCGGAGUCCCGGAUGUGAUCACGGACAUGACGACGAGUCUCGAAAUGGUCGAGACAUAAAGAUUGAUAUAUUGGACGGCUAUAUUCGGACACCGGAAGUGUUCCGGGUGAUUUCGGAGAAAACCGGAGAGCCGGAGGGUUACCGGAACCCCCCAGGGAGAAGUAAUGGGCCAUAUGGGCCUUAGUGGAGAGAGAGAGGGGCUGCCAGAGGUGGGCUGCGUGCCUCCUCCCCCCUGGUCCGAAUUGGACUAGGAGAGGGGGGCGGCGCCCCCCCUUUCCCUCUCCCUCCCCACUUCUUUCCCCCUCCUAGUGGGAGUGGGACUCCUACUAGGAGGAGGACUCCUCCUGGCGCGCCUAUAGGGGCCGGCCGGCCUCCUCCCCUUGCUCCUUUAUAUACGGGGGCAGGGGGGCACCCCUAGACACACAAGUUGAUCUUCGUGAUCGUUCCUUAGCCGUGUGCGGUGCCUCCCUCCACCAUAUUCCACCUCGGUCAUAUUGUAGCGGUGCUUAGGCGAAGCCCUGCGACGGUAUAACAUCAAGAUUGUCACCACGCCGUCGUGCUGACGGAACUCCUCCCCGACGCUUUGCUGGAUCGGAGCCCGGGGAUCGUCAUCGAGCUGAACGUGUGCUAGAACUCAGAGGUGCCAUAGUUUCGGUGCUUGAUCGGUCGGGCCAUGGAGACGUAUGACUACAUCAACCAAACGCUUCCGUUGUCGAUCUACAAGGGUACGUAGAUCACACUCUCCCUCUCUCGUUGCUAUGCAUCACCAUGAUCUUGCGUGUGCGUAGGAAAUUUUUUGAAAUUACUACGUUCCCCAACAGUGGCAUCCGAGCCUAGGUUUUAUUUGUUGAUGUUAUAUGCACGAGUAGAACACAAGUGAGUUGUGGGCGAUAUAAGUCAUACUGCUUACCAGCAUGUCAUACUUUGGUUCGGCGGUAUUGUUGGACGAAACGGCCCGGACCGACAUUACGCGUACGCUUACGCGAGACCGAUUCUCCCGACGUGCUUUGCACAUAGGUGGCUUGCGGGUGACAGUUUCUCCAACUUUAGUUGAACCAUGUGUGGCUACGCCCGGUCCUUGCGAAGGUUAAAACAGCACCAACUUGACAAACUAUCGUUGUGAUUUUGAUGCGUAGGUAAGAUUGGUUCUUGCUUAAGCCCGUAGCAGCCACGUAAAACUUGCAACAACAAAGUAGAGGACGUCUAACUUGUUUUUGCAGGGCAUAUUGUGAUGUGAUAUGGUCAAGACAUGAUGCUAAAUUUUAUUGUAUGAGAUGAUCAUGUUUUGUAACCGAGUUAUCGGCAACUGACAGGAGCCAUAUGGUGUUCUUUAAGUUAAAUUAAUUGAACCUAAAUUUAUCAUGAAACUUAGUACCUGAUAGUAUCUUGCUUGUUUAUGCUUGAUUGUAGAUAGAUGGCUCGUGCUGUUGUUCUGUUGAAUUUUAAUGCGUUCCUUGAGAAAGCAAAGUUGAAAGAUGAUUGUAGCAAUUACACGAACUGGGUCCGUAACUUGAGGAUUAUCCUCAUUGAUGCACAGAAGAAUUAUGUCCUGGAAGCACCGCUGGGUGCCAGGCCUGCUGCUGGAGCAACACCAGAUGUUAUGAACGUCUGGCAGAGCGAAGCUGAUGACUACUCGAUAGUUCAGUAUGCCAUGCUUUACGGCUUAGAAUUGGGACUUCAACGACGUUUUGAACGUCAUGGAGCAUAUGAGAUGUUCCAGGAGUUGAAGUUAAUAUUUCAAGCAAAUGCCCGGAUUGAGAGAUAUGAAGUCUCCAAUAAGUUCUAUAGCUGCAAGAUGGAGGAGAACAGUUCUGUCAGUGAGCAUAUACUCAAAAUGUCUGGGUAUAAUAAUCACUUGAUUCAAUUGGGAGUUAAUCUUCCAGAUGAUUGCAUCAUCGACAGAAUUCUCCAAUCACUGCCACCAAGCUACAAGAGCUUCGUGAUGAACUAUAAUAUGCAAGGGAUGAAUAAGACUAUUCCCGAGCUCUUCGCAAUGCUGAAAGCUGCGGAGGUAGAAAUCAAAAAGGAGCAUCAAGUGUUGAUGGUCAACAAGACCACUAGUUUCAAGAAAAAGGGCAAAGGGAAGAAGAAAGGGAACUUCAAAAAGAACGGCAAGCAAGUUGCUACUCAAGAGAAGAAACCCAAACCUGGACCUAAGCCUGAAACUGAGUGCUUCUACUGCAAGCGGACUGGUCACUGGAAGCGGAACUGCCCCAAGUAUUUGGCGAAUAAGAAGGAUGGCAAGGUGAACAAAGGUAUAUGUGAUAUACAUGUUAUUGAUGUGUACCUUACUAAUGCUCGCAGUAGCACCUGGGUAUUUGAUACUGGUUCUGUUGCUAAUAUUUGCAACUCGAAACAGGGACUACGGAUUAAGAGAAGAUUAGCUAAGGACGAGGUGAUGAUGCGCGUGGAAAACGGUUCCAAAGUCGAUGUGAUCGUAGUCGGCACGCUACCUCUACAUCUACCUUCGGGAUUAAUAUUAGACCUAAAUAAUUGUUAUUUGGUGCCAGCGUUAAGCAUGAACAUUAUAUCUGGAUCUUGUUUGAUGCGAGACGGUUAUUCAUUUAAAUCAGAGAAUAAUGGUUGUUCUAUUUAUAUGAGUAAUAUCUUUUAUGGUCAUGCACCCUUGAAGAGUGGUCUAUUCUUAUUGAAUCUCGAUAGUAGUAACACACAUAUUCAUAAUGUUGAAGCCAAAAGAUGCAGAGUUGAUAAUGAUAGUGCAACUUAUUUGUGGCACUACCGUUUAGGUCAUAUCGGUGUAAAGCGCAUGAAGAAACUCCAUACUGAUGGACUUUUGGAACCACUUAAUUAUGAAUCACUUGGUAGUUGCGAACCGUGCCUCAUGGGCAAGAUGACUAAAACACCGUUCUCCGGUACUAUGGAGAGAGCAACAGAUUUGUUGGAAAUCAUACAUACAGAUGUAUGUGGUCCGAUGAAUAUUGAGGCUCGUGGCGGAUAUCGUUAUUUUCUCACCUUCACAGAUGACUUAAGCAGAUAUGGGUAUAUCUACUUAAUGAAACACAAGUCUGAAACGUUUGAAAAGUUCAAAGAAUUUCAGAGUGAAGUAGAAAAUCAUCGUAACAAGAAAAUAAAAUUCCUACGAUCUGAUCGUGGAGGAGAAUAUUUGAGUUACGAGUUUGGUGUACAUUUGAAAAAUUAUGGAAUAGUUUCGCAACUCACGCCACCCGGAACACCACAGCAUAAUGGUGUGUCCGAACGUCGUAAUCGUACUUUACUAGAUAUGGUGCGAUCUAUGAUGUCUCUUACUGAUUUACCGCUAUCAUUUUGGGGAUACGCUCUAGAGACGGCCGCAUUCACGUUAAAUAGGGCACCAUCAAAAUCCGUUGAGACGACGCCUUAUGAACUGUGGUUUGGCAAGAAACCAAAGUUACCGUUUCUGAAAGUUUGGGGCUGCGAUGCUUAUGUGAAAAAGCUUCAACCUGAUAAGCUCGAACCCAAAUCGGAGAAAUGUGUCUUCAUAGGAAAUCCAAAGGAAACUAUUGGAUACACCUUCUAUCACGGAUCCGAAGGCAAAACUUUUGUUGCUAAGUUCGGAGACUUUCUAGAGAAGGAGUUUCUCUCGAAAGAAGUGAGUGGGAGGAAAGUAGAACUUGACGAGGUAACUGUACCUGCUCCCUUAUUGGAAAGUAGUGCAUCACAGAAAACUAUUUCUGUGACACCUACAUCAGUUAGUGAGGAAGCUAAUGAUGAUGAUCAUGAAACUUCAGAACAAGAUACUACUGAACCUCGUAGAUCAACCAGAGUAAGAUCCGCGCCAGAGUGGUACGGUAAUCCUGUUCUGCAAGUCAUGCUACUAGAUCAUGAUGAACCUAUGAACUAUGAAGAAGCGAUGGUGAGCCCAGAUUCCGCAAAAUGGCUUGAAGCCAUGAAAUCUGAGAUGGGAUCCAUGUAUGAGAACAAAGUAUGGAUUUUGGUUGACUUGCCCAAUGAUCGGCAAGCAAUUGAGAAUAAAUGGAUCUUCAAGAAGAAGACUGAUGCUGACGGUAAUAUUACUGUCUACAAAGCUCGACUUGUCGCAAAAGGUUUUCGGCAAGUUCAAGGGAUUGACUACGACGAGACCUUCUCACCCUUAAGUUUGUCCGAAUCAUGUUAGCAAUUGCCGCAUUUUAUGAUUAUGAAAUUUGGCAGAUGGAUGUCAAAACUGCAUUCCUGAAUGGAUUUCUGGAAGAAGAGUUGUAUAUGAUGCAACCAGAAGGUUUUGUCGAUCCAAAGGGAGCUAACAAAGUGUGCAAGCUCCAACGAUCCAUUUAUGGACUGGUGCAAGCCUCUCGGAGUUGGAAUAAACGCUUUGAUGGUGUGAUCAAAGCAUUUGGUUUUAUACAGACUUUUGGAGAAGUCUGUAUUUACAAGAAAGUGAGUGGGAGCUCUGUAGCAUUUCUGAUAUUAUAUGUAGAUGACAUAUUACUAAUUGGAAAUGAUAUAGAAUUUCUGGAUAGCAUAAAGGGAUACUUGAAUAAGAGUUUUUCAAUGAAAGACCUCGGUGAAGUUGCUUGCAUAUUAGGCAUUAAGAUCUUUAGAGAUAGAUCAAGACGCUUAAUUGGACUUUCACAAAGCACAUACCUUGACAAAGUUUUGAAGAAGUUCAAAAUGGAUCAAGCAAAGAAAGGGUUCUUGUCUGUGUUACAAGGUGUGAAGUUGAGUAAGAUUCAAUGCCCGACCACUGCAGAAGAUAGAGAGAAAAUGAAAGAUGUUCCCUAUGCUUCAGCCAUAGGCUCUAUCAUGUAUGUAAUGCUGUGUACCAGACCUGAUGUGUGCCUUGCUAUAAGUCUAGCAGGGAGGUACCAAAAUAAUCCAGGAGUGGAUCACUGGACAGCGGUCAAGAACAUCCUGAAAUACCUGAAAAGGACUAAGGAUAUGUUUCUCAUAUAUGGAAGUGACAAAGAGCUCAUCGUAAAAGGUUACGUUGAUGCAAGCUUUGACACUGAUCCGGACGAUUCUAAAUCAUAAACUGGAUACGUGUUUACAUUAAACGGUGGAGCUGUCAGUUGGUGCAGUUCUAAACAAAGCGUUGUAGCGGGAUCUACAUGUGAAGCGGAGUACAUAGCUGCUUCGGAAGCAGCAAAUGAAGGAGUCUGGAUGAAGGAGUUCAUAUCCGAUUUAGGUGUCAUACCUAGUGCAUCGGGUCCAAUGUAAAUCUUUUGUGACAAUACUGGUGCAAUUGUCUUGGCAAAGGAAUCCAGAUUUCACAAGAGAACCAAACACAUCAAGAGACGCUUCAAUUCCAUCCGGGAUCUAGUCCAGGUGGGAGACAUAGAGAUUUGCAAGAUACAUACGGAUCUGAAUGUUGCAGAUCCGUUGACUAAGCCUCUUCCACGAGCAAAACAUGAUCAGCACCAAGGCUCCAUGGGUGUUAGAAUCAUUACUGUGUAAUCUAGAUUAUUGACUCUAGUGCAAGUGGGAGACUGAAGGAAAUAUGCCCUAGAGGCAAUAAUAAAGUUAUUAUUUAUUUCCUUAUAUCAUGAUAAAUGUUUAUUAUUCAUGCUAGAAUUGUAUUAACCGGAAACAUAAUACAUGUGUGAAUACAUAGACAAACAGAGUGUCACUAGUAUGCCUCUACUUGACUAGCUCGUUAAUCAAAGAUGGUUAUGUUUCCUAACCAUGAACAAGGAGUUGUUAUUUGACUAACGAGAUCAUAUCAUUAGGUGAAUGAUCUGAUUGACAUGACCCAUUACAUUAGCUUAGCACCCGAUCGUUUAGUAUGUUGCUAUUGCUUUCUUCAUGACUUAUACAUGUUCCUAUGACUAUGAGAUUAUGCAACUCCCGUUUGCCGGAGGAACACUUUGUGUGCUACCAAACGUCACAACGUAAAUGGGUGAUUAUAAAGGUGCUCUACAGGUGUCUCCAAAGGUACAUGUUGGGUUGGCGUAUUUCGAGAUUAGGAUUUGUCACUCCGAUUGUCGGAGAGGUAUCUCUGGGCCCUCUCGGUAAUGCACAUCACAUAAGCCUUGCAAGCAUUGCAACUAAUGAGUUAGUUGCGAGAUGAUGCAUUACGAAACGAGUAAAGAGACUUGCCGAUAACGAGAUUGAACUAGGUAUUGAGAUACCGGCGAUCAAAUCUCGGGCAAGUAACAUACCGAUGACAAAGGGAACAACGUAUGUUGUUAUGCGGUCUGACCGAUAAAGAUCUUCGUAGAAUAUGUAGGAGCCAAUAUGAGCAUCCAGGUUCCGCUAUUGGUUAUUGACCGGAGACGUGUCUCGGUCAUGUCUACAUUGUUCUCGAACCCGUAGGGUCCGCACGCUUAAGGUUUCGAUGACAGUUAUAUUAUGAGUUUAUGAGUUUUGAUGUACCGAAGUUAGUUCGGAGUCCCGGAUGUGAUCACGGACAUGACGACGAGUCUCGAAAUGGUCGAGACAUAAAGAUUGAUAUAUUGGACGGCUAUAUUCGGACACCGGAAGUGUUCCGGGUGAUUUCGGAGAAAACCGGAGAGCCGGAGGGUUACCGGAACCCCCCGGAAGAAGUAAUGGGCCAUAUGGGCCUUAGUGGAGAGAGAGAGGGGCUGCCAGAGGUGGGCUGCGCGCCUCCUCCCCCCUGGUCCGAAUUNNNNNNNNNNNNNNNNNNNNNNNNNNNNNNNNNNNNNNNNNNNNNNNNNNNNNNNNNNNNNNNNNNNNNNNNNNNNNNNNNNNNNNNNNNNNNNNNNNNNNNNNNNNNNNNNNNNNNNNNNNNNNNNNNNNNNNNNNNNNNNNNNNNNNNNNNNNNNNNNNNNNNNNNNNNNNNNNNNNNNNNNNNNNNNNNNNNNNNNNNNNNNNNNNNNNNNNNNNNNNNNNNNNNNNNNNNNNNNNNNNNNNNNNNNNNNNNNNNNNNNNNNNNNNNNNNNNNNNNNNNNNNNNNNNNNNNNNNNNNNNNNNNNNNNNNNNNNNNNNNNNNNNNNNNNNNNNNNNNNNNNNNNNNNNNNNNNNNNNNNNNNNNNNNNNNNNNNNNNNNNNNNNNNNNNNNNNNNNNNNNNNNNNNNNNNNNNNNNNNNNNNNNNNNNNNNNNNNNNNNNNNUUCCCCCUCCUAGUAGGAGUCCUACUACUAGGAGGAGGACUCCUCCUGGCGCGCCUAUAGGGGCCGGCCGGCCUCCUCCCCUUGCUCCUUUAUAUACGGGGGCAGGGGGGCACCCCUAGACACACAAGUUGAUCUUCGUGAUCGUUCCUUAGCCGUGUGCGGUGCCCCCCUCCACCAUACUCCACCUCGGUCAUAUUGUAGCGGUGCUUAGGCGAAGCCCUGCGACGGUAGAACAUCAAGAUCGUCACCACGCCGUCGUGCUGACGGAACUCCUCCCCGACGCUUUGCUGGAUCGGAGUCCGGGGAUCGUCAUCGAGCUGAACGUGUGCUAGAACUCGGAGGUGCCGUAGUUUCGGUGCUUGAUCGGUCGGGCCGUGGAGACGUACGACUACAUCAACCAAACGCUUCCGUUGUCGAUCUACAAGGGUACGUAGAUCACACUCUCCCCCUCUCAUUGCUAUGCAUCACCAUGAUCUUGCGUGUGCGUAGGAAUUUUUUUUGAAAUUACUACGUUCCCCAACAGUUGCCCCGAACGGGCGACUCCGACUUCAUCAUAGAGCUCCAUCAUCGAAGCCAACCCGCAAAAAGCCGCAGAAACCAUGACGGCAAAUGCCAACAGAUGGCCACACGCCCAAGCGACCGACAGCUCCGACUUGAUGACGAGCAUCGCAAGGGAAAUAUGCAGGACUUGCGCCGACCAUGACCUCCGCAAACGAUCACGGAGUGUCUGUCAUCGUCACCACCUGGAUCCACUCCACCAUAGCUUCGACUUCAAAGUAACCAAGCAACCUACGGAAGAGCACCUCGGACACGCCAGAAAGGACCGACUACCGAAGUCCAUGCAGCGACCCGAGCUCCUCUCGACGUCAUCAUCGUUGCCAAAACAGAAACAAGCGCCCCGCCUCAGCAAACCACACGGCAAAGAUGACACCAUUCACCGGUCUCCUGGUCAUAGCCGGCUCCGAGACGAUGCCCCCAAGGAGGAGAAAGACGCGAGGACGCCUCCAUCGCCCGAUCCAGUGGAUCUGAGGUUUCCAUCCGGAGCCAAAGCCAUGGGGAGGAGGAGGAGCACACCUCUUAUCUAGCCACCCAUUUUCUACACCGCGAUCCAUGUGGGCGUUGUCGAGAUGGAGAAAUUUUAGGGAUGCCACAGUAGCACCAAAAUGCCUCGGUCAGCUGUCGUUGGCCUCUAUGGCGGAUGAUGAGGUGUCGGCUCUGGAUUCUGAUGAUGAGAUGGACCAAGAUGGAUACGAGAAUGAAGAGAAGAGGGCGCCGCUGGACCAAAGUGGUUAUGGGGGUGAUUCUUGUGCUGAUGAAAAUGAUGUUGCACCAUUUUCUACAGAGGAAAAUGAUGCUGCCAUGAGUCUUUGUGCUCUUGAUCAGAUGCUUCGAAAUCAAAAUGGCGGGAUGUUGUGUGCUGAGCAGGAGCAGUUGUGCAACGAGGAGGAAGAGCAGAAGGAGGCUUCAGCGACAUGUGAGUCGCAAACCAAGCUUGAACAAAAGAGGGGUCUUCGCGAGCAGCAACGGAUCAAUAUUUGUUACCGUAGGAAACGCAAAGUAGCCCUCCCCGGGCAAGCAAAUUUGUAAGCGCAAGUCCCUCCCAGUCCCAGGAGGUCUGGUCUUUGCGCGCAUGUGACGAAAUCGAAAUCGCCAUGUAAUAAGGAAGACUAAGCACGAAGCAAUUGCAUGAAUCAAAUUUCAGUGGUUUGUUCUGCCUCGCAAUCAAUUUGAAUAUGCCCUUUUUGGUGAGGGAUUAUGUAUGUGGGUUAGAUAGCAGUGGCUUUGUGGGCAGUGGGAGAAGCAUUCGAUUUCAGAAUUCUAGCUUACAGAUUCAAACUCUUGGGUGCCUAUUUUGCCAUCGUCUCUCUUUUUUUUUCCCGCCAUGUCAUUUGCGAUCUUCAAUUUUGGAAGCAAAUUGUUGCGCGUGCUCUUGAUGAUAGUUAUUUGCCAAAGUUGCAAUCUUUUGUAUUUCAAAGUUGCAACCCUUAUAUGUUAAAGUUGCAAACUUUUGUAUCUCAAAGUUGCAAAACUGAAACGGACUCUGUCUCUGGCUGUGCAAUAAAAAGAGCGUUUGUUGUAGCUACCCCUCAAGAAAAAACCAUAAAAAACAAGUGUUGUACUAGUAGCUAAUAAUACGAUUAGUUGAGGAGCUUCUUCAGUUUUUCUUCAACCGAAAGGCAUUUACAAUGAGGCCCAAGGAUACAUCAAUACAGUCUUGGCAGUCAGCACAGCUCUAAAAGCAUAUGCAAGCUAAAACUGCAUUCCUAGACCAGCAAGCUAAUAUGAAGAACUCCACCGUCCCUCCGCUCACGGUGCUGGAUGGAGCUGCUCGUCUUCACCGCUGCCCGGACGACGCGUGCUGGCAGACCUUUCCCGCAAUGGCGUCGGGAGAAGCGAGCCUUGCUUCGGCAGCUGAAUUCCACUAUUCGGUCGUAUCAGAUCACCCGGGGCUCGCCCCAAUAUUCCCGGCCCAGGAUGGGGGGCUCUCGGGGGCAACCGAACGGAUAUCCCAUAGCCGAAUCCUGAAGGGACGAUCCUAAAGGGCCACCAUGGCUUAUGCACAUACUGCGCGCCACCAGACUGGAUGCCCGGGAAUCGACAAUGUCGAACGGGAGGCAGAACCGUGGCAACACGAGCAGUGCCGGGCGUAGCAUUAACUUGGUGUGCCGGUUCCUCGUGGCGUGCAGCACGCUUUGUCCUCUCUUGUUGGAUCCCGCGUCUGCCCUCCGGGCUAAGGUCCCUCUUGCCGCGUCUCGGACGAGGCCUGCUGACCAGAUCGUCGGGGUUCAGGCGCCCAAACAGGCGGGUCUUGAGCUUCGAUGCGUCGAUGUGGCCCUUCAUGAAAUCUGUCAGGUUCGAAGCGCAAACUACAAGGCAUGUGCAGAUCUUCUGCAUCUGCGCCUUCCCUACAGCCCUCGCAAAGUUCUGCGACCGGUCCAAGAAGUCUUCAACCUAUAUGAUGAGAAGGACCAGAGAAAUAAUAAUAAUAAUGGGCACAAUGAGUCUGGCUGGCAUUCUGUUACCUAUUAUUAGUAGUACUAGUCAAUGUGCAGAACACCUACACUUAGAUUACCAACUCCUUUCUUCCAGGUCUUGGAGAUCCACGAUGCUUCGAAAUUGCUAGCGCAGAGCCCGUGCUCCCAUAAACUCUCCACUGAUAGUAGCUGCAGGGCACAAGGUCAAGGUCAGCUAUUCUUUAAGUAUGAUGAACAUAACUUACACAGCAAAAAUGAAUAGAAUAGAAAAUGAACAUAAAAAUUACUCACCUUACUCAUUAGUGUUACAAAAAGUUCAGCUACCGAUUCUUUAUUUGCGCUCCCAAACCCCUUAAAGAGCGAGAUGUUCUUCUCAACACUUGCGAAAUCUGAACCAUCUGCAAGGGGCCAAAACAAGAUAGUUAUCUCAUCAUCCUUUCUGGGUAAAAAAGAUACAGCAGCAGAAGAAAAGGUAAGAACACAAACCUUUUAACAAGGCAGAGAACGCGGGCAAUAUUGGAGGAUGGCGGGUCUGCGCUGCCCAUUGUAAAAGCAGUAAGAAUAUUCAACUUCUAAUCAGAUAAACAAAUCAAAGUAGUAUUAAAUGCCAAGACUGCUGAGCUAAGAUGUUAGGUACUCCCUCCGUAAAGAAAUAUAAGAGCGUUUAGAUCACUAAAAUAGUGAUCUAAACACUCUUAUAUUUGUUUACAGAGGGAGUACUAGAUAUGCAGUGACUUGUCACUAGUCACUAGUCAAAACAAACGAGAGACUGGGGGUAUAAUUACUUGUGAUGUAAUAAUAGAGCCUAAAUAAAAUGAAUACAUUCUUGGUACCUGCAGAUGGAAAGCAACCAAGGAAAUGAUUGACAUCGAGCUCAUUGUCUGCGCUGUCGGGCUAUUCACAUCAUGUAUCUUAGCCCAGGUCUUGACCUGCAGCAUAAACAGAAAAACCAAGAGUUACUGUUGUCACAUAGCUUCAGAAUAACCCGCAGCCAUUGGUAUGUUACGGCUAGGAAAAUGAUCAAAUGAAGAUACAUUACCAAGUAACUUAGUAUCUGAAACCUUUCAUCAAGUGAAGAAAUCAAUUUGACGAUCAUCGAUCUUGUCAUGCCAUCUUUGUUUUCAACCGUAAUAUCACACUCGAUGCCAGUUCCCCGAUCAAUAACAUUCACAAUAGGCACCUUAGCACUUACAACAGGUAAAACCCCACAGUAAAUUCCGUCCCCUGAAAUUGAGAAUAUAAGGUUGUUUCCUUCAUCUGUACUCGACAAAACUCUGAACAAACUAUGGUAACAUGGUAGGACCAAAAACAAGCAAUGUUGUCAAGCCCCAAACUGUAAUUACUGUUGCGAUAUAAGCGUUCUACAGAGUUUUCAGUAUCAAGUUUGUUUCUCAAUAAGAGCGGGUGAUACUUAUGUUGAUGAAGAUAAAACCACAUAAGAAUGCAGAGUGAAGAGCUUGAAAGUUUAUAACCGAUGAAUGGACGCACAGGAGACUAAUGUGAAAAUGUUCAGCUCAAGGAAGUAGUUACUUUGAAGGGAGUAUAGAACUUUGGCGAAUUUCCUGACAACUUUCAUCUUUUUCUUGCGAGGGCACUGAUCCUCGAUGUCUGCACUGAAGUUGACAGAGAGAUCCAGGUCACUUUUAGGAGUAAAUAAAUCCAUUGUGAAUGACCCAAAUGCUUGCACGACUGGAAACCCGUUGUCGUUACCUGCAACAGUUUGUUAAGAGGGGAGGUCAAAUUGAGACAAAUGCUCACACAAUAAUCAGAACAUCACUUGUUAAAAAGUAUACAGUGAAAUAUAUUCCGCAAUAUCCGUGUUGGCAUGUGAUGUUCUCGUCCUAGAAUAUAUAAAAUGCAAGCCUGGGACAUUGCCUAUUGUAGACAGCAUCAUACAAGCUGUGCUGAUACACCUUUCUAACAGUGACUUGGUGAUAUAGCAAUGAGUAAAGAGAGUAUUUGAAAAAAUCUCGGAUCCAAGUUCCUCAUGGUAUAUAUUUUCCUUUUUCAGCGAGCCAAGUUCAUCAUGCUAUUCAGUGACUACAUUAUCAGUAAGAAAGGUAAGCUAUAUCAUCUCUUACCAAAGAUUCUGGUUGCCAUCUUGUUGAAGACAUCAACCAAGGCGUUCCGCUGCUGGUAGUCAACGGGCUUGGGGCGCAGCACGGCAUACACCUCGAGGAGCAGAUCGUUGAGAGCUGGAAGACGGCCAGGAUCGACCGACAUCGCGGCCAGCAGCUGCUCCUCGUUACGCUCCGCCUGGGCGCGUAAAUCUGCGCAGGGACAGACAGAAACGUUGGCAACGACGACGACGCGGGAGCAAAACCACGACGCGACAGAUACAGGGAGAGNNNNNNNNNNNNNNNNNNNNNNNNNNNNNNNNNNNNNNNNNNNNNNNNNNNNNNNNNNNNNNNNNNNNNNNNNNNNNNNNNNNNNNNNNNNNNNNNNNNNNNNNNNNNNNNNNNNNNNNNNNNNNNNNNNNNNNNNNNNNNNNNNNNNNNNNNNNNNNNNNNNNNNNNNNNNNNNNNNNNNNNNNNNNNNNNNNNNNNNNNNNNNNNNNNNUGCAGAGAAAUCUUAUCUAAAAGAUGAAUGAUACUCCAUGAUUUCUCUAAAAAAAUGAUACUCCAUGAAGUUAAACUGAAUUUCCUCUAAAGAAUGAAUGAUACUCCAUGAAGUGAAACUGAAUUUUAGGCCCAUACAUGAAGUGAAACUGAAUGGUGCAGAAGAUAGUGGCAGGGAGGGAGGGAAAAAGUAGGUACCUUGUGAAUCCCACACCAUCGGAGAUGCCUCCUCCUCGCUGUCGCCGGACCUGCAGCCGCAGACGCAUCAGAGAUCUAUCUUUUCUAAUCUGUAAUCUAAUCAAUCUAGGGGCGUAGAAGGGGGAGGAAUCGUCCUCGUCCGAGGACCCGCCGGAGGAAGGAGGGUGCAGGAAUACGAACCCAUCGGAGCCGGAGUCGGAGUAGGAGGUCGCGUCGGAGAAUGGCGGCGGAGCGGCGGCAGGAGUCGCCAUGGCUCGCCACUCCUGCCUGGAAGUGAAAGCUGGGGCCUUGCUUUUUCUUUUCUUUUUUUACCGCCCGUCGGUCACCGAGGGGUGGGGCCCGCUUGGCAGAGGUCGAAGAGGAGUUAUUAUAGCCGUGAGGAGCCCAACAAACUCUUCAAAUUUGACUUCUCAAAUUCUUGUACUACUGCUGCCAAACUUGAAACUGUAGUUGCUAUUUUCGAACUGCUGCUAUAUCUCGAAAUGAUUGUACUACUUCCCAAUGGCCAUAUUUUGCAACGGCCAUAUUUUGUCUCGUCUAUAUAUAUGCGUGAAAAGACUAAUUUUGUAUACGGCGUCCUAUAGACUCUGGCCAGGAAAAAGCAGGGGUCAUUCAUCUUUGCCUAUGUAAGAGAGUCGGGGGUGAGUUUCGGGCGGCCACGAAGAGAGGGGUGGUUUUUCCAAAGAUUCUCUUGAGGUCUAGAUAAAAGCCGAGCGGCGGAGGAGAUCUGGCGAGUUCGUCUUUUUUGCAAACCGGUAUCGGAUAGCGGUUGCAAUGGGAUUGGGUUUAAAAUUUAAAGAGUGGGAGAGGACGCCUACCGCUUGAACUUGCUCUUGUACUACUACACAACUGCAAAUCAUUUUAAAUCGUCUCAAAACAGCCUCCUCUUAAUUUAGAAUCCAACUGCAUCUUUGGCUCACACGAUUUGAAAAACACAGAAAUAGAAAUGGAGCAUUCAGACGCCACGACAUUUUGAAUCAUACAGAGAACUCAAAUCGUGGAAAUGUGUACAUUACACCAAGACUUUCCUUGAAUAAUAGGCGCAUAUUACAGUUGCCACAAACACACAAAGGAAAAUUUCAAUUAAGGACCAUAUAUAACGCCAUCCGGAAGAUUAGGUGCAUAUUGUGGUUGUCAGUUGUGACAGAAAAAGGAAAAUGUUAUGUUGGUCCUCAGCAGAAAUUUCCCUUCUAAAUCACUUGCAAAGUAGAAAAAAAAUCCAAAUGGUUUCCAAUUUUAUAAACAAACAAGUAAAUAGAUCCUCCUGUGUAAAUAGAUCCAAAUGGUUUCCAAUUUAAUAAACAAACAGGUAAACGGAUCCUCGGGCCCUCUUAUGCAAAUUGGUUGUAUGAAAAAUGUCAGACAACCAAGAAUUAUUCAUCCUGACAACGCACUUUUAUAGGAAGAUGCUCUUCUCCAUCCAAAUACGAAUUUCAUUUCAUUUCAGCACGAUUAUUAGGACGAUGUUAUGUGAGACAUCAUUGUUUUAGAGAGGGCUGAGCAAUCUCACCAGGUCAACUUUGUUUGUAAGAAGAAGAAAAAAACCCAUGAAUAAAUCAGUGAAGACCACCCAAGAAACACAUAUACUUACACUACAUCAGAGGAGGGGGGAAACCAACACAUUGGUGAGGCCAAGGAUUAUACACACACCCACACACCAAUCAACCAAUGUGUCCAAAAAAAUUCGAACAAUCAUCAUCAUCAUCAUAUCAUAGUCCAGGUUAUAUUAUCCUUUGCUGCAAGAGAAAGCUUCCAUCGCCUUCUUCCUCUCCUCCUUGUAUAUUCUACGUACCAUCUAGUUACAUGAUGAAGUAAGCUCGGAUCACCUCAAUAAUGGGUGCGCGGCACAGCGGACACUUCCCUCCACUUCGAACCAACUCGUUCGCGCAUUUCGAGCACGUGCACAUGUGCCCACAUCUGCGCCACCCACGAAAAAUCAUGCUCAGAACACUACUGGAUAAUAAUAGGCAAUCAUAUGUUUCAACAGCUUGCACCCUAAUAAUAAUGGAUAAAAAACCAACCUGUACAGAAGAGAAUCGAUCGGAGUAUCACAGCAUACACAGCAAGUGCCUUUCCUCACAUUCAUCCAUUUCGAUCCAUCGUCGAUGGUCUCCUUGGGUUCCCCUGAGACACCAUGUACAUCGGCAUUCAGGGUACAAUCGUAUAAGCACAAGAAAAAAGAUAAAAGGCAAAGCUCUACACCAAGACUAAAUUUAGCAAUUAAAGGUGCUGUUAAUGGAUAACUACCAGCAUUUUUUGAAAGGUGAGACCGAGCAUGCCAAGCUAUGUCUUCCUUUCUAAAUUAGCCCAGGAUCCACCAUAAGAGUUUAUGUCGAAAACAGGAGUUACUAACCUUGCUCCCCGAUGAAGCGAUUCAAGGCCGCGGAAACUUCCUGCCUCACAGAACGUUGUAACUCAAGCUGCAUAUCCAUGCAAGCUUCCAACAUCCUUUGCAUAUGACCCAUACCUUGCUGAAGUCUAGCCAUAUCAGCCCUCAAAUCAUUAAUAGCCUCCCAUUCCUGCAGAAGCAAACCAGAAGAAACAUUAUAUGCCUUUAGCUUUUGAUAUAUAGCCUGCAAAACUUCCCUAAAAAAACUUAAAAUGUCCUCCCAUCAAUCUUACAAAGAAGGGAAGUUAUUGCAAAUCCGAUUAUCUAUAACAAAAUAGUCCAAAUUAAAGCAAACAAGACCAAGCGGUGCUCGACUGGCUAGAGCGCAUGCCUGUAAGCUCGCCCACCCGCGUCCAAGGCGCAGCCUCUGCAGGUACCUCAUUUCUACCUAAACAAAAUGUACAGUCAAGGGAGGGAACUUCCCCCUUUUAACCACGUUUUUGAAAUGCCAACAAAUAAAAUAGUCCAAAUUAAUGCAAACGAGAACCGAGCAGGGCUCGGCUGGCAAGAGCACACGCCUGUGAGGCACAGCCUCCGCAGGUGCCUCACUUCUACCUAAACGACAUACCGUUAAGGGAGGGAACUGUUAGAUAUAUUAUGUCUCCUCUUCUAACAGAUCGGUCUUUUGGGAUAGUUGGUUGAUAGGAAUAUCUAACAUGCUAUUGGACAUGAAGGGUCUUGGGUUAGGAAUAUCUAACAGAAACUUCCCCCUUUUACCACAUUUUUUAAUGCAGCAAAACAAAUUAAAAAGUGAAUAAAAGUGUGUGCAGUAAUAAGAAUGUCAAAGAGAAUAGCUCACGAUAUCGGAGCGGUUGAUGUUCUGUCUCAUCCAGUUGUUAUGAUGCAGCUCCGAAUGCCAAAGUGGUUGACGAGGAGGCAUAGGUGGAGGUGGGAUCACUAAGCGAGGCCUAACAUUUGCAGCAUCACGAAGAAGUUGCUGUUCCUCGUCGUCAUCUCCAUGCCGCUGCUCUUCUUGAUCUUGCUCCUGCUGGUCAGGGGUUGCUGCUGCUACCGCAGGUGUUCCUUGCAGAUUCAAAGAGAGAGGACCACGACCUUGCCGUUCAACGUAUGACCGGAUAAGGCGGUCUAGGUUUUCACGGAAAGCGCUAUCAAGAAGAUUAGAAACGCUCCUUCUGCAGAAUUAUUGAACAAUGUAUAUAUCAGCGUUAAUAAUAAGUCACGUUUGGUGCUGAGCUUCUCUUAGUCUUAGUGCAAGAAAGAAAGAAAGAAAAACCUGCUUAGAAGCUCCCUUAGUUCUGUGCUGUAGACAUUAUCGUCAUCGCCAGGGGUAAAUGUAUUAACUCUUCUGAUGAGCGUAGACUCCUGGUCAACGGGUUGCUCUGAAUGAUCGUCAUGCCAGUUAUGCGCACUCCCAUUGGACUCAUCGUCGUCGUGCCACACUUCAUUCAUUUCUGGAAAAUGAUCGUCACUGGGCCACUCAUCACGCACUUGUGCGGGAUCAUUACCCUCCCUGUUCCACUCUCCACGCGCUUCUUGGAGAUGAUUGUUGCCUUCAAGCGCUUCGGGGAGAUGGUUACUGUCAAGCUGCUCUUCAUGUGCUUCAGGAAGAUUAUUAUCACUAAUUGUUGACUCAUCACUUGUUUCCAGAAGAUACGAGGCACCUUGACGAUCUCCAGCCUCUGUUGUCCUCUCAUCAGACGAUGAUGAACUGCUGUCCGCACUUUCAAUCCAGUUUCUGCCAGAUCCCUCUCCAGUCGUAGUAAUAGCAUGGGAAAACUGAUCCCAGUCUCUUCUUCUAUCCACCACCUCCAAAUCUUCCUGCCAACCCUCCUCCUGACUAUGAGGCUCGGACAAUCCUUCAGCAAUACUAGGAGCAUUGCUUCCAUAAUCUGACCCUGUUGCUGUCUCUCCAAUUCGCUGAAGAUCAACAUUAUCGUUUGCCUGUCGAUGCAUGUCCUGAGUAUCUUCAGAAGCAGCACGGCUUGAUUCAGAAUGGUCAAUGGUUGAGAGCUCGACAGUCUGAGCUGAAGAUGAAUCCGACCGGCUAGCUGCUUGACCUCGUACAAGAUUCUCCAAUCUGAAACGGAAAUCCUCCUCUAGUUAUUAUUUAGUUCACAGUAAAACGUUCAUGCAAGUACAUUAUAAGUGCAACAGCUAAAUUGGUCCCGAACUCGCAUAUGAGAUUACAGCAUUUCACUUCAGAUAAAGAAUAAAUCACACAUUUCAACAUGAACCAGGACAAAAAUACAUUUUGUGAGUUUAGUGAGUAAAUGCUUGCUUAAGCUUAACAUCAUCGAUUGAUCCGUUAUUGGAAUCUUAUGAUUAAAUCCGUGGGCAUCGUAUAACCAUCAUUGCUCCAAACAUCAUGCAUACGUUUGAUUAGGACAAAUAUCAGCAAAAUGGGGCGCAAACAAAAUGAUCAAACUGUAGCGAUAUCAGCAUCAGUACAACUAACCACUAAGAAUCAUGCAUGCAUGGGCACUCCAUACAUAUAAGAUGGACCUCCUCCAACCAAAGCAACAGAAGCAGAAUGUCCCGACAAUGACCCAUCAAUUAGUAGUCCCAAAAUCAAUAAUUUCGCUUGCAUAAAUCCUUUCCAGGAAAAUAAAUGGAAUGCUAUUGCUAUUAUCCACUAAGCAUGGGCAGCAGCAGCAGCAGCAAGGAUAAAGAUGCGAGCUUGCUGACCUGAGGCCGGAGACGGGGUGGCGCUGCCGGAGCUGCCCGAGCUCCCUGGCGGCCACCGACGGCUGCCUCCUCUCCUCCUCCGGCAGGCCGCCGUUCCGCAGAAACCUUCCCCGGAGCAGCGCCUGUGGUUAGAAAAAUCUCUAGUAAGAAAUGAGCAAUCGUGCUACAGCUAAUGGAACAGUGGCCGGCGGCUUGUAGGUGGAGGACGACGCACGCACGUGGAUUCGGUUGCGGUGGGGGAAGGCGGAGACGGCGCGGCGGAGGGAGAGGCGCUGGAGCUCGGCGUGGCGGUCGGCGGCGAGGCGCAUGACGAGCUCGAGCCUGGCCUGGCGGCCGCGGAUCCGGGGGCCGGCGGCGGGCGACGGGGGCGGGUGCGGCGGGUCGCCGCCGUCGGCGCCGCCCUGGUCGCGGUCGCGGUCGCGCGCGGCCUCCAUCUGGACCUGGACCCAGUCCCGGACGAGGCGCACGCGGUCGCGCUCGAUCUCGCCGAGCCACCAGCCGGCGUCGGCGGCGGUGCCCGAGAUCCGCGCGGCCCGGUCGUCGCUCCAGCGGCGCGCGGCGCGGCGCACGGCGUCUCCGUCGGCGCUGUCGGCGCCCGGGGAGCCCUCCCUGCUGCUGGAUCCCUCCUCCCAGUCGCUCUCGCUCCGGGGCUCCGACGGCUCUCUGCGGGGGCGUCGGCGCGGCGCGGUCACGGGCGCGGGCGGCGGGGCGUCGGCCAUCGGCGGCCGCGGCGAGGCAUUGGGGUUUGGUCGGAGGGGACGGAGGCAACCAACGGAGGUGGAGUCGAAGCAAGUCAAGGUGGAGACGAAUUUGGUUGGCCGGAGAGAUUAGCUAAAGACACGAUUUUUCUUCCCUCUCCUUUUCAUUUCCUUUCCUUCCCUUUCGUAUAUGCAAUAAUGAUUCAUUCAAAAGAAAUGGCAAUGAUUCAUAGAGAUGAGUGUAUGCGCGUGUAUACGAGCGCUUGUGUCUGUACUGAUGCUCAAAAAAAAUGGCAAUGUGGUGGGAAACCUAAAAUAUUGCAAAAUCCAUUAUUGGUUUCCAUUUAUGUCCGCAAAAACAAAAUCCAUUACUGUUUUCUCUCGUUAUCCGCAUUGACAUAUUCUGAGACAAGAUUGCGAGGAAGGGACCGAUUACACGAUUAGCUACCUGGUAGGUCCCGCGGCUACAAAAUGCCUCCCACUCUAACAGAAACUACAUUUAUUAAAAAAAAAAUAGCAAAAACUACAAAAAUUUCUACCCAUGGCCGGGUCCCGGCACACCAGAAGAUGAAAAAAUGAUGUGUUUGUAGACCUCAUGGCCUCAUCCCACCGUCUCAAAGCAUUCUCAAACAACAAUAACAACAACAACAACAACAACAGAGUUCAAAGCAUCCAUGUGCAAUCAAAUGAUGAUCAUCUGAUGUAUAACAACAUAUAAGUUUUCUCCGUUGUUGUUUGUUGUUGCUGUUGUUAUUGUUGUUGUUGUUGUUGUUGUUGUUGUUGUUGUUGUUUCAAAUUGCAUUUACGUCAUCGGUGAGCAAGAACUAUUCUGACCAAAAAGGAAAAGUAUAGUGAAAGGACCAUAUACAACAGUUGCUCAUUCAACUACUUUUAUACAUAGAUGGUGGUGAUGUGGGCCACCGGUCAUUAGUUUGAGAAUGGCAAGAAAAAAGACAAUAGUUUUAACACACAGUCUUCCUUUUCCUUCUUUUUUUCUUUGUAUAUGGAAUUAUUAUUCAAAAGAUAGAAUUAUGGAGGGAAACUUAAAUGUUGCAAAGUGAAUUACUCUCUUCGAUCCAUAUUACUUGUCGGAGGUUUAAUACAACUUUGUGGAUUGGAGGGAGUAUUGUUUUCCUUUUAUAUCUUCUGAAAAUGCAUUAUCAUUUCCUCCGGUUGUUCACAUUGGCAUCUUCAUAGCCAAGAUUGCAAGGGAGAAACCAAUUACUCUCUUUUUUUUUUGAAUAGAAACCAACACGCGAUUAGUUCAUACUUAGCCAAGCAGUUGCUGGAAAUUAAACCCAUUAAGCGUCAGAAGAAGAGCGGCCAACCAGCUAUGCCACGUGGCGCAAGCUGGUUGGCCGCGGUGAGAAAGCUUUUGGAAUAUUUUUAUGGAGGUGAGGAUUUUUUUUGAAAUAUUUUUGUAGAUGGAGGUGAGGACCCCAUGUAUUUUUUUAAAUGGAGGGCUAUGCAAAGCGGCGCUCGCUGAUAAGGCUAUGAUGAUAUUUUUUUUUGUUUAUUUUUUAGAUGGAGGUGAGGAUUUUUUGGAUGUUUUUUUAAAUGGAGGUGAAGACUCUAUGUAUAUUUUUAAAUAAAAAUGUGCGUGCAGCUUCCUCUCACAGGGUGACGCCCCAACCAUUAGUAUAUGAUUCAACAUGAGUUUAUUACUCCCUACAAAAUGGCUCCUUAGAAUAAAACUAUUGAAAAAAAUGUACUCGCGUUGGGUCCCACUAUCCUGGAUGAAAAAAAAAUGACGUGUUUCAUAGAUCUCACAACCGGAUCCCAGCUGAGUUCAAAGCACCACGUGCAAAAGAACGUCUGGUCAUUCGAUGUAUAACGGUAUAAAAGAUUUCUCCUACACUACUAAUAUUAUACCAAUUCUAAACCACUUCCGUUGCAAAUUGCAUCUAUGUCGUUCUCGCAUGAAAAGGGAAAAGUGUAUAUAGUGAAAGGACUAUAUGCAGCAGUUGCAAUACUAUUUCUCCUCGUGUACACCAAGGAUUUGGCAUACUUUAAUAACAACUUUGCUUAAUCAACUAUUUUCAGCCAGAGAUGGUGGUGGUGUAGGCAAGCAGUCGCUAGUUUGAGGCUGACCUCUAACGAAAAAGCGACUAGUUUUAUCAUAUGAUUGGUUGGAGAGGUUGGAUGCAAGCAGGGUUUAUCUUUUCUUCCCCCCUUCACCUUUUCUUUUCUUCGUAGUAUAUGGAAUAACCAUUCAAGAUAAAUUGAAAUCUUGAGGGAAACUUAAAUAUUUAAAACACUUUGUGUUGUGUCUCCACUUGUCCACUGCUGACAUCUUCAUAAAUAAGGUUGCAAGGAAGAAAUACAUAUAUCACAGAAGAAGAAAAUACAACAUGUUCAUAAACCUCUAGCUAGGCCGGACCCCACUCCCUCCAAUAACGGAGCAACAGAGUUCAAAGCAUCCAUGUGCAAAGAAACAAACAUUCAUCAUUCAAUGUAGUAUAACGGCACGGCAGAAGAUUAUCAUACCAUUUUCAUUGCAAAUCACAUUCGCGCUGUCGAUAUUCACCGCAAGAAGUCUUGUCGCGGUGGAAAAAUAUGAAAAGGGAAAGUAAAACGACAAUAUACGGCAUGUUCAAGGAAAGUACACCAAGGAUUUGACCUAUUAUUUUCAGAACUUUGCAUGUUCAAUUAUUUUUGCAGAUGGUGGCGGCAUAGGCAGGCAGAAUUAUCAACAUUUCCGGAAUCGGCACCAGACACUACUCUGAGACAAACCUCUAAGGAGAAAAAUAAAACAGUUUUAAGUAAAGGAUUACCAUACGAUAAUUCGCCAAGUCAGCGUUUAGAUGCGCCAAUAUAUUUGUUUUACACAUUGCAAAAAUAAAGUCAUUGUCAUGUGAUAUAGUAGUCAUACAUGACACGCGAAACAGUAAUAAUAACAGCAAAUAUCGCAACAUAAAAAAGAACAUUGUUCUCCCAAAAAUGCUUGUGUAAUAGUACCGCAUGAAUUUGGCAGCAGCUGCAAACAUGGUUAAAACAUCGGUUUCAUCAGGAAAAUAGAACAACCAUGUGGAAUUCUUUAGUUGGUGCAAAAGCUGAAACAGGGGGAAAGUAGCUUGGAGUCUUGGGACUUCCUCCAGGAAUAAACAGACGCAAGGUGCUAAGCUAGGAUUUGGUGCAAGGUGUGGCAUUAAUUCCCUCCGUGCAGCAGCGCUUUCAGAUUCAGAGAAUUCUUUGGUUCCAAGCCUAGCAUCUUGACUUUCACAGCAAAAAUUUAACCAAGUGUAAACAUCAAGUGCGGCUCUUCUGUGUGAUCUUCACUCUUUCCGCAGCCCGAACAUCAAAUGCAGCUACUGUAUCUCUUGCUAAAAAACGCGAGUUUUUUCAUAGGGUAUCUCUCGCUCUGGUUUACUUCUUGCGUACACCAAAAAGACAGACAUCAGCAAAAAUCAGCUUAUUUUCGUAUAGCGGCGCAUAGGAGCGUCCGUCCCAUGGCUUAUUCGAGGAUCCUCUCUCCGGUCGAAAAGACGUUCCACACCACUGUCCCUACUAUGUACAGCAGAACAGCCACCUGAAACACGCUGUCCCAAGAGCCUGCGAGCGAUAAAUACAGUAGGAAGUUAGCAUAUGAAAGAGUUGCAUAUUCUGUGUGAAAACAGGGUUUCACCUUUCUGAAGGAUGUAGCCAGUGGCAGCAGUACCAAAAACUCCUGCAAGCACGCCGGCGGUGUUCGACAGCCCAAGAAGCACCCCCUGCAAUUUUGCAGGACACUGUCUAGUCAGACACAUUCAUCGGAUCGCAAGCCAAAUCAAGCAACCAGUAGCCAAUGUCUUAUCUGAAGAACUAGUGAACACAAGAACAGUGACAAUUCAGACGAGGACAUUACCGCGUAACGCGGUCCUAUAUCCUGGUGGUUCGAGUACAGCCCAGACUGUGAAAAAGCAUCACUCCCCUACCAAAAAAUGAACAGAAAUAUCAGCAACCAAUCAUAGCACAAGAUUUAUUUGUGUUUCAGAAGUGCAAACCUGACUGCAUGCCAUACACAGCACGGCCAUGGCUGGUGUGCGGACUUUGCUCAGCAGUGUCAAGAACAAGGCUGGUCCAAGAAAACCGAUAGAUUGCAUGAUCUGCACGGAGACAGGUUGCAAAGCAUGUCAAGAUUGGCAACUAUGCGCAGAACGAACUUUUGCCCAGACACACACAAAAAAAAUACACACAGGAAAUAAUUAACAAGGUACUGAAAAUGAACUUACCUUGCGAACAUUUGUUAUCGAAACCCCUCUCGCAACAAGUGUGUCAGCUAUCCAGCCACCAACGUUUGCAAACACGGCCAUUGUCAGCCACGGCAGGACACACAGAAGCCCGGACUCGGUGAGAUUGAACUUCAGAACCUGUAUAAAACCGUUCGGUGGGUACAGCAUGCAUGACAUGAACCUGUAUAAAACCGGACGAGCAAUGAUGAAUGCCCAACAUUUUGCACUAAUAAAUUACCUGAUUGUAGUAUGUGGGCAUCCAUGUAAGGAGAAUGAAUGUUCCCCAGUUAUGGCAGAAAUGUGAUACUAUGAGGGCCCAUACUGCAGGCUUUGAUAGGAUUAACUUCCAUGGUAUGGAGGUAACAGGCUCCUUUAAGGUACUACCACCUAGUAUGUGCCUCUUUUCAUCUUCGGUUACUUCCGGAUCUUCACUCGGAGAGCUGCGCGCCUAAUUAGAACAGAGACCAGCAAUGAGCUGAAUAGCAAGGAUGAGAAUCUAAAAGCCGAAAAAACGUCACCAAGUAAAAGUUUAGCAUUCUCAUUUCCAGAGCUGUUCAUGUUAAAUUAAAUUCUGUGCACAGCAAGUACUUAUGACAUAUGCAAGUGCACUGAGAAAUAGCACCGCAUGGCAGAAGGUGAGAAAGGAGUGCAAAAAAUUGGUAUGUCUUACUUUGAGUUGCCACAGUGUAAACCAGAUGCUUCCCAGGGACCCAAAUCCAUAGAAAACAGAAGGCCAACCGAAUUUGCUUAUCAGGAAAGGUGAGAAGGCCAGGCCGGUAACUGAACCAAGGUACAUUCCACUGUAUACCAAUGCAAGAGAUCUGCUCCUCUCUGAAACCGGGAUCCAUUUGGAAAGGAUGUUGUUCAUGGCCGGCAUGGCAACACCCUGUUGGAAAAAUAGAUAUAAGAAAAAUAAGCCAAAAGGGCAUUUUUUGCAACAAGAGAUUGAUUUAUUAACGGUGUCUGUGCUACUAAUAAUUCUAAGAAGCUGAUAUAUAUAUCCAAAUACUUGAUGAUCCAUAACAUUUUAAGGCAUAUGUUGUCUAUACAUCUGAUGAAUAGCAUAAAGUAAUUUAGAGGGGGCAGUAGAAGACAUCUACCUCGCCUAUUCCCAUGAAAGCACGCACGACGAGUAGGAACGGAAGGCCAAGCUUGGCAGCAAAUGGUGUAAGAAUUGUUGCAAUAGACCACCAUACAACCCCGAACCCAAGGACCACCUUGCCGCCAAAACGGUCAGCCCAAAUGCCUCCAAGAAUCUGCAACACAAGUUCACGAAAUCAAGGACGGUGCCCAUGUACAUUCAAUUGAAACUGAAACUAAAAUCAAGAAUCUGCGACUGCAAGCGAAGGUGAACACUGAACAAUAAGAAACAAAUGCAGAGAAAAAUGCUCUAGGUACGAAUAUAGCAAUGUACCUGAGUGAGAAGGUAGCCCCAAAAGAAAGAAGACUGGAUGAGGCCAACGGUCGCCGGGCUCCAGCCGAACUCCGCUGACAUCGGGAGGAUGGCGAUACUCAUAUUGACCUGGCAGGGUUCAGUCAAUUAAUUCUCAGUACUGAAAUAACAGUCACAACAGAAAAAAGGUUCAGUUACACAAAGCACUAAUGAACUCACACGGUCCAUGUUGCAGAGCAGGAAUGAGAAGAAGCAGAGGACGACGAUGGUCAUGCGCUUGGGGAACUGCUGCCACCAGGCGGGAGAAGAAGCAGCCUCUGGGCUAGCAGCAUCUCCGACCAGGACGGCGGCCUCUGCGGGGACGUCGCCCAGCGGCGCCCCGGUCAUCUCGUACUGCUCGGCCCUGCAGUCUCCGCGCUGCUUUCUGACGGGCGCUCUGUACUCGGGCUGCAGCACCCCGGCGGUGUCGAGGCCGGUGAGGUUCUUGGGUUUGUGCCAUCCGCUGGUGACCGGGUCCGAGGAUAGGAAGCACUCGACCCUUGACAGGACCCUCCUCUUCACCAGGCCUGCAUUAUUGUUGCAGAGCCUCAUGGGAGUAGAGUUGAGCUGAGGCUGCUGAAUCUGAAUGUGGGCAGAGAAUUGGUUCCCGGUGCUCCUGGAGACAUGCCGGCCGGUUCCUCCAUUUCUGUCUCCGGCAACCAGCUGGGAGCACACCGGCCACCUGGUGUGUGGCGACGACGUAGAGGAAUACUUGAUCAUCAUCAUGGUGUGAUGUUGCUGCUGCUUUCCUGUAUGUAUGUAUGUAUGUAUGUAUGUAAGAGCAGCAGUCAGUUGAGCAUAAAGGUUAGGCCUGCAACAGAAGUGCAGAAGGCAUCUCAAGGGAAAACAAGACACAACUAACUCAGUGUCACUACACUCUCUGUAUUCCCUCUGUGACAGGUGCAUUUCUAGAUUCCCUCUGUGAUAGUGCUCUAAACGCCAGCUUUUAUAUUAGUUUACGGAGGGAGUAGUAUUUAUGGUUGUGGAGUGUUGAGCGAUGGAAUGCUGUAGGGCUCAUUCAGUUUGGAGGAAACUAAUUAAAACGGAGGAAUUACAACUAGUAUAGGAAUGUGAGAGGAUAGCACUCGAAAAGUGAGUGGGCGUGCAAUUUCCUCCCAAGACAUAACAUAGGAAGGAAAUGUCCUAGGAAAGAAAAGAAAGAGAUUCCUAUACUCUGUUUGUGUUUGGUACAAACCCAAUGCAUGCACGCUUUUAAUCUGGGAAACUGUCAAUUCGGUAUCUAGUGUGUUGGUUCUGGUGUAAUACUCCCUCUGUAAACUAAUAUAAGAGCAUUUAGAUCACUACUUUAGUAUUCUAAACGCUCUUAUAUUAGUUUACGGAGGGAGUACUUACUAAUCUACUACUCCAGCUGGUGGAUUCGUGUCAUUCCCCCCUAACCAAACCAAGAGAGUGAAGGAAGGAUGGGAAUGAAGAAUCUGUCGAGUACGCACCUGCUGCUGGUGAAGAAGAGGAGGAGGAGGAGGCGAGGAAGGCUGCUCUGCUGGAGGAGAGCACCGCCCCCAUCGCCAUGGCCAUCCAGAAGGAAUGCUCUGCUGGAGGAGGCGAGGAAGGCUGCUCUGCUCUGCUGGAGGAGCUUGCUGCGUCCACUCCAGGUAGCAGCAAGCUCAGGUCAGGGAAGCUGCCGGAAGGAAGCAGCUCAGCUCAGGGGCAGCAUCUGUCUCCGGUGAAGAAGGAAAGGGAGGAAGCCAUGGAGCGAGCGAGUGAGGGGAGGGGACGAGAAGGAGAGGUGGACGUGCGGAUAAGUGGACUCUCU
rnacentral:lncRNA from 1 species